CGGGGUGAGUAAUGUCUGGGAAACUGCCUGAUGAGGGGGAUAACUGCUGGAAACGGUAGCUAAUACCGCAUAACGUCGCAAGACCAAGAGGGGGACCUUCGGGCCUCUUGCCAUCGGAUGUGCCCAGAUGGGAUUAGCUAGUAGGUGGGGUAACGGCUCACCUAGGCGACGAUCCCUAGCUGGUCUGAGAGGAUGACCAGCCACACUGGAACUGAGACACGGUCCAG
rnacentral:rRNA from 1 species